CAAAAGGCUCUUUUAAGAGCCACCCAAAAUUUCAUGUAAUCGUGCU
rfam:Mesocricetus auratus contig023759, whole genome shotgun sequence.